rnacentral:rRNA from 1 species
UACGAAGGGUGCAAGCGUUACUCGGAAUUACUGGGCGUAAAGCGUGCGUAGGUGGUUUGUUAAGUCUGCUGUGAAAGCCCCGGGCUCAACCUGGGAAUGGCAGUGGAUACUGGCAAGCUAGAGUGCGGUAGAGGGGUGUGGAACUUCCGGUGGAGCGGUGAAAUGUGUUGAUAUCGGAAGGAACGCCGGUGGCGAAAGCGACACACUGGAUCUUGUCUGACGCUGAGGCACGAAAGCCAGGGGAGCGAACGGG